rnacentral:rRNA from 1 species
CCUACGGGCCGCACCAGUGGGGAAUAUUGCACAAUGGGCGCAAGCCUGAUGCAGCCAUGCCGCGUGUAUGAAGAAGGCCUUAGGGUUGUAAAGUACUUUCAGUUGGGAGGAAGGCGUUGAUGCUAAUAUCAUCAGCGAUUGACGUUACCAACAGAAGAAGCACCGGCUAACUCCGUGCCAGCAGCCGCGGUAAUACGGAGGGUGCAAGCGUUAAUCGGAAUUACUGGGCGUAAAGCGCACGCAGGCGGUCUGUCAAGUCGGAUGUGAAAUCCCCGGGCUCAACCUGGGAACUGCUUUCGAAACUGGCAGGCUAGAGUCUUGUAGAGGGGGGUAGAAUUCCAGGUGUAGCGGUGAAAUGCGUAGAGAUCUGGAGGAAUACCGGUGGCGAAGGCGGCCCCCUGGACAAAGACUGACGCUCAGGUACGAAAGCGUGGGGAGCUAACAGGAUUAGAUACCCUGGUAGUC